rnacentral:rRNA from 1 species
AUUUUAUUGCUUUUAGAUGUAGUAAUUGGGUAAAACUGGUUAUGAAACCUAAGGGAUCACAGUAAAGUAUUAAGUGGGGUUCCAGUUCAUUUACUUUGAGUAAAUUAGAGUGUUCAAAAGCAGCCUGUAUGGGCAUUGAAUAGAUUAGCAUGGGAUAAUAGAAUAGGAUUCUUAUCUAUUUAUUGGUUUAUAGAUUUAGAAUAAUGAUUAAUAGGGAUAGUUGGGGGCACUUGUAUUCAAUAGUCAGAGGUGAAAUUCUAGGAUUUAUUGAAGACAAAACUUCAGCGAAAGCAUUUGCCAAGGAUGUUUUCAUUAAUCAAGAACGAAAAGUUAGGGGAUCGAAGACGAUUAGACACCGUCGUAGUCUUAACUAUAAACUAUGCCGACCAGGGAUAUGAGAGUUAUUAUUUAUACUAUGACAAUAGUAUAAUACUCUUGUGG